rnacentral:rRNA from 1 species
CCUACGGGUGGCAGCAGUGAGGAAUAUUGGUCAAUGGGCGCAAGCCUGAACCAGCCAUGCCGCGUGCAGGAUGACGGCUCUAUGAGUUGUAAACUGCUUUUGUACGGGGGUAAAGCCCGAUACGUGUAUCGGGUUGCAAGUAUCGUACGAAUAAGGACCGGCUAAUUCCGUGCCAGCAGCCGCGGUAAUACGGAGGGUCCGGGCGUUAUCCGGAUUUAUUGGGUUUAAAGGGUGCGUAGGCGGCAUGACAAGUGUGAGGUGAAAUGUCGGGGCUCAACCCGGGAACUGCCGCUGAUACUGUUGAGCUAGAGUGCAGUGGCGGUAGGCGGAAUGUAUGGUGUAGCGGUGAAAUGCUUAGAGAUCAUGAAGAACACCGAUUGCGAAGGCAGCUUACCGAACUGUAACUGACGUUGAGGCACGAAAGCGUGGGUAGCAAACAGGAUUAGAUACCCGAGUAGUC